AGUUAGGGUCCUAGUGGCCCAACCUCCAACCCUCUGUUGUUAAAACUACCUUGUUGCUUUGGCGGGACCGUUCGGUCUCCGAGCGCGUUAACCUCCGGGUUGGCGAGCGCCCGCCAGAGUCCAACCAAACUCUUGUAUUAAACCAGUCGUCUGAGUAUAAAAUUUUAAUUAAAUUAAAACUUUCAACAACGGAUCUCUUGGUUCUCGCAUCGAUGAAGAACGCAGCGAAAUGCGAUAAGUAAUGUGAAUUGCAGAAUUCAGUGAAUCAUCGAAUCUUUGAACGCACAUUGCGCCCCUUGGUAUUCCGAGGGGCAUGCCUGUUCGAGCGUCAUUACACCACUCAAGCACUGCUUGGUAUUGGGCAUCGUCCGUCGAAAGGCGGGCGUGCCUCGAAGACCUCGGCGGGGUUUCUCCAACUUCGGGCGUAGUAGAGUUAAAUCAAAACGUCUUAUAAGCUUGGUGAGAUCUCAUUGCCGUUAAACCUUUUAUUUUUUCAGGUUGACCUCGGAUCAGGUAGGGAUACCCGCUGAACUUAAGCAUAUCAAUAAGCGG
rnacentral:rRNA from 1 species